AUUGAACGCUGGCGGCAGGCUUAACACAUGCAAGUCGAACGGUAACAGGAGAAAGCUUGCUUUCUUGCUGACGAGUGGCGGACGGGUGAGUAAUGCUUGGGAAUCUGGCUUAUGGAGGGGGAUAACGACGGGAAACUGUCGCUAAUACCGCGUAGAGUCGAGAGACGAAAGUGCGGGACCGCAAGGCCGCAUGCCAUAGGAUGAGCCCAAGUGGGAUUAGGUAGUUGGUGGGGUAAUGGCCUACCAAGCCGACGAUCUCUAGCUGGUCUGAGAGGAUGACCAGCCACACCGGGACUGAGACACGGCCCGGACUCCUACGGGAGGCAGCAGUGGGGAAUAUUGCGCAAUGGGGGCAACCCUGACGCAGCCAUGCCGCGUGAAUGAAGAAGGCCUUCGGGUUGUAAAGUUCUUUCGGUGACGAGGAAGGCGUGGUGUUUAAUAGGCAUCACGAUUGACGUUAAUCACAGAAGAAGCACCGGCUAACUCCGUG
rnacentral:rRNA from 1 species